CUUUUUUUUUGCUUUUCUGUGUGUGUUUUUUUUAAACAUUGAUUUCUCAAUCCUUGUUGUAUUUGGAAGGAAGACUGUUUCCAUGCUUUAGUUUUUCCUUAUUACAUCAUAGUAGCAGUAUGUUCAUGAAAUUUUGAAUCGAAAACUUUUAAGACUAUUGCUAUUACUAUUCCUCAUGAAGUCACUGUGUUUGAGCCUCUGAGGCAUUGCUUUUACUAUUUUUUCACCUAAUUUAUUGAGUUUGAUCCAAACUUGUUACUGCGGAACUUGGUUUUUAGUUGUUUUAUGGUGUGUAAUUAAUUACUAUUGAUGCAGGAACGUUAUCCAUGGAAGCGAUUCUGUUGAAAGUGCAACCAAGGAAAUUGCAUUGUGGUUCCCUGAGGGCCCUGCCAACUGGCAAAGCAGCCUCCACUCUUGGAUCUACGAGUAAAGAUAUAAACUUCACGUUGAUUGUGAAAUUCGCCUAUUUUUAUCCAUUGCUGGAACUUCAUUAGAGUUUUGUGCGUUGGUUAGGAUUUCCAGUUAUGUUGUUUCUGUUGAAACAUAUUCAGUCUGAUAAAUCCAAUCCGAACCUAGUUUUGCUUUUUCUUGUUGUUCAUUAAUGGUUUUGCUUUAAUGUUAUUGAUUUGGUUACGCAUAAAUUAUACUGUUAUCAUCUUAAGUACACAGUUUUCUGAAUAAAUUGGCAGUAACUAAAAUCUGUGUUGAUGUUCUAUUAUAUAAUUUUAGUCGAAAUUAAAGGGUUUACAUUUAACAGGAAAAUAUAUUAAUAUGCAUAAUGCGACUUUUCACAUUACUUUUAACUUUUUCAUAAUGUCCAAAUCACUGUCACUAUUAAUUAACCAUUGGUUUCAUCAAAAGUUUUUGUUCAUAUAGUUUGUCUUAGAAUUAUGGGUUCUACAUAACUUUUUUGAAACGAAGUUGGUAAUUACAAGCCAGUUUAUUUAAAAACUUAUUCCCAACUUCCGAUGUCACAUAGGUGAAGUCAUAAAGAAGUAUUGAUUCUUGGUUUUUUAGAAAAGGAUCAAUAUGUGUUCCUUCCUUUAUUAAUGGUAGGUAUGGAUUGAAAUAGGUUAGUUGUAUCUGUUUGGUAUGUUAUUCUUUUAGUGUUAUUUUUAAAUCUUAUAAAGACCCAUCUAACAGUAAGACCUUUAAAUACCAUAUCAUUCAAAAGGCUACAAAAGAACCGAACCACCAAAAUCAUUGAGCCACCUUUAAUGUGAACCUACCACUAAUAAAAAUUAAUUUGGUUUGGUUUGGUUUUGUUUUGUUAAAACUUUACUCACGAAAUCCAAACCAAAUUAAAUAUAAAAGUUGGUUGUUAUGUUAAAAAAUUUACAAUAAAUUAAAUUUAAUACAAACACUAGAUACCUUAUACAACUAAUAAAAUACUUAGUGUGUUCGAACGAGAUAAUUUAUGUAAAGCCGAUAUAAUUAUUUUUCCAUGCAACUUAGAAAAAAUACUAUUCAACUUAUAUCAUUUGUUAAUACAUUUGGAAAAUUAUAAGCAAUGGAAAAUUAAGACUUGUAAAAUAUGACUACAUAAUUUUCUCUUUUAUUUGUUAUAUUUUAAAAUUAAAGUGCACUAGUAAAUAUUUAAGCAUAAUAGUAGAGACAAAAUUUAUUAAAUUUUCAUCUUUUUUGUGAAACUUUUUUUGUAUAUGACAGGAUUUUUGAAAUUUUCAUUUGCAGAACUUGUUCUAGUUCUAUGAUUGUUUAAUCACAUAAGCAAUUAAUUGUCUCAUGAAUAAUAGUUAUUUUAAAAAAUUUAUUAAUAUGAAACUUGUCUCGUGUAUUAUUGUUCAAUUUUACCACCGGCAACUUGUCUGAUAUAUCAUUUAUAAAUUGUACACUCAAAUAACUUUUUUAGUGACUCAUUUUCAAAAAUAUAACAUGAAGAAAUUGAAAUGGGAAAAAAAAUUAUAUUUAGCGUGUUAUGAUUGUUUUUAUUUUUAUGUUGAUGAUAUUAAAAAAAAUAUUAAUUUUAAUUAAUUAAUUAAUGAUAAAUAUUUAUCACUAGUAUAAAUUAUUUGUUCGAACGUAGGGAUGAAAAGAGGCUAGGCACUAUUAGGGACAUGUGGUCUGACCUACUUAUGGUUUGGCCUGACCUGGUCUAUUUAAUAAAAAGGUCAGACUUGUUUUUAAAGUCUAUUUAUUUAAAUAGGUCAGGCUCAGGCUUAUAAAAAAGCCUAUUAGGUCUGACAGGCCGACAUAUAUAUAUUUUAUUAUUUAUUAUUUAUUAAUAUUAUUUAUUAUUAUUAUUAUUAUUAUAUUAAUAAUAUUAUUUCCUAUUUUAAAUUCUAUCAAUUAAGCAAUCACUCAUUAAUCAAUCACUCAGUAGUGGUUCCAUAUUUGUUUAAGAGGUAAUAAUGAGUGUGUUUGUUUCAGAAAGAAAAAAAAACUAUUAUUUGACACCAAAAAUUAUUUUUUAGGGUUUAAAGGAUGUUUGUUUCAGAUUUUUUAAAAAUUUUGUUAGAAAAAUUAUUUUUUGUUUAACAUAUAUAGAUAUGUACGUUGAUAUUGGUAUGUGGAGAGUAUCAUGUGGUAUGAGUAGAGUAUUGAAAUAUUUUAUUGUGAAUAAGACUUUUAAAUAGGCUUUCAGGUCAGACCAAAUUUUUAAAAAGGUCAGGCCAUGCCGGAAAAAAAGUCUAUGAUAGGCCGUAGGCCAGACUUAGGCCUAAAAAAUAAAUCGUAGGCCAGACUCAGGUCUUUCAAAGCUUGAUAUGGCAUGACCAUUCCCACCCCUACUCGAACGACUUCUUUAAGAGUUCAUUUCAAAAAAAAAAAAAAAAAACUAUAGCUAUACACCCUGAGUGAUCUCCACACGCCCCGUGAGAUCCUCCUAACAUAGCUCCAGUCAAGCAUUCUCAUCUCAUGAAGUCACUGUGUUUGAGCCUCUGAGGCAUUGCUUUUACUAUUUUUUCACCUAAUUUAUUGAGUUUGAUCCAAACUUGUUACUGCGGAACUUGGUUUUUAGUUGUUUUAUGGUGUGUAAUUAAUUACUAUUGAUGCAGGAACGUUAUCCAUGGAAGCGAUUCUGUUGAAAGUGCAACCAAGGAAAUUGCAUUGUGGUUCCCUGAGGGCCCUGCCAACUGGCAAAGCAGCCUCCACUCUUGGAUCUACGAGUAAAGAUAUAAACUUCACGUUGAUUGUGAAAUUCGCCUAUUUUUAUCCAUUGCUGGAACUUCAUUAGAGUUUUGUGCGUUGGUUAGGAUUUCCAGUUAUGUUGUUUCUGUUGAAACAUAUUCAGUCUGAUAAAUCCAAUCCGAACCUAGUUUUGCUUUUUCUUGUUGUUCAUUAAUGGUUUUGCUUUAAUGUUAUUGAUUUGGUUACGCAUAAAUUAUACUGUUAUCAUCUUAAGUACACAGUUUUCUGAAUAAAUUGGCAGUAACUAAAAUCUGUGUUGAUGUUCUAUUAUAUAAUUUUAGUCGAAAUUAAAGGGUUUACAUUUAACAGGAA
rnacentral:lncRNA from 1 species